AACAUGCACACCCAAAAGAACGUAAUUGAGAGUAGUCAAAAGACCUUUUAAAAAGAAGGCUAUAUGGGGAUGCAAAUUUUAAAAUGGGCAUAGUCAAAUGGUUAAUUAAAAAUAUGGCAGUUAAAAAGGCAUCAACCAAAAAUUCUUUUGGAAGAUUAGAUUGAGCUAAUAAUGAUAGCCCAAUUUUCAUGAUAUAGCGAUGUUUUCUCUCUAUAACUCCGUUUUGUUGAGAAGUGUAUGGACAAUUGAGACGAAAUUGCUUGAUCUUAUAGGAGAAAAGAUUUUCAACAAAGAUUUUAAAUUUAACAAAACAAGCAAAGACUUCUGAUUUAUUUGAAACAGGAUAUAACCAUAUAAAUCUCGAAUAGUCGUCAAUAAAUAAAACAUAAUACCGACAACCACUUAGAGAAGAAAUAGGAGAUAUCCAGACAUCAGAAUGAAUUAACUCCAAAGGACUUACUGACACUCUAUUAGAUGGAGUAAACGGUAAUUGUUUACUCUUUCCUAAUUGACAUGAAGGACAAACUGAUUUCCGAGAUAAUGGGCCGACAAUAGGAAGCUUGAAAGAAGUUAUGAUUUGCUUGGUUAUUUGGGCGGAAGGGUGUCCUAGAUGAGCAUGCCAAAUAUCUGGAGAAGUUUUAAAUCCAAGGAGAGCUACACUUGCACGACAAUGAUUGAGAGAAGAUUUAUUCAGCAUGAUCGGAUAGAGACCGCCUUCACUCAGUCCCUCUAAAAGUAUUCUUCCUGUUUAUCUUGUCCUUGACAAAAUAAUGAGUAUCAGUUAGGACAAAGAAACAAUUGUUAUCUAUGCAGAAUUUGUUUAUAGAAAGCAAAUUUAUCAUUGCUUCAGGACAAUGUAAAACACCUUUGAAACAUAAUUUUUUUUUAUGGAGUUUGGAUAGAAAAGGAACCAGUAUUAGUGAUGGAAAGUCCAAAUCUAUUACCUACAACCAUGGAAUUCUCACCACCAUAGACUUCCUACAGAGUUAAAUUAGCAACUUCAUUAGGAAUAUGUUGGUUAGCACCAGAGUCUACAUACCAAAUAUUAGGGUCCUCAUGUAUGGCAUUGCUUUGUGCAACCAUUGCAGCAAGUUGCGUAGGUGGAUGGCGGCCUUGUUAACUGUAAUCUAUACUAUGGAAACAAUCUAAAGCUUGGUGAUUAGUCUUCCCAUAUUGAAAUAACUAAUAAAAUAAUAUUUUAUUUUUAUAAGAGGGAGGAUCAAGGCCGAAGUCUAAUCCGAUUUUGAUGCGAUCCAAAUCCAACCUAAAAACCUAUUUUAGUUGGACUCGGAUUCCUGCGUAGAUUAAGGAAAGUCGAAUGUCAGCUCUCUCCUCAAUUCUGAUCCACCGGCAUCAAGAAAAAUCUAUUUCAGUUGAACUCGGAUUCCUGCACAAAUUUAGAUUAAAAAAAUCAAAAGUAAGCUCUCCGCACAAUUCAACUUCAAUGGGACAAAGACCGUCGUCUAUAAAUAAUGGCUCAAAUAUCUCAUGUACGCAUACAAAAUAUAUGCUCGUUGCUCUCACCUCCUUCGUCUUGUCAUAUAUUUUGUUUUUAGAGUCAUGUAUCAUUUAAGCAUUGUAGGACUAUCCACAAAUUUUCGUUUUUUUUUUUUUUUCUGUGCGCGGAUCUUUUAGAUCAGCGCCUCUUUAUCUACUAAAGGCAGCCGAUUUCACUGAUAAGAUAAUGGUACAUAUUGAAGCAGGAAAAAGGCUUUCUCGGGAAUACGAGAACGGAGCGGCUCAUAAACUUCCAGGCGUGCUUCCCGCGAGAUUGUAACGUAGACCAUGUACCAGGCUGGUACUUUCAAUGUUAAUAUUUUCCAACCGUCAACUUUAAAACAAAACUAAAGGUCGCAGGGUCCGCAGGUCGAGGGAAGUUAUGAAUGACAUAAAGAAUUUUUACUCUCUUCCUUUGGGCAAGUCGCAUGCCACAGGGAUAUCAGAUGCAUAUUGGGACCUACGCUCAUCAGAUUCAGACCAUAUGACUUUUUCUUUUUGAAAGAAACAGGGAGGAGGAAAGGUUCUUCCCCACUAAUUUAUUGAAGAAUAGGAUAUUAAGGAUGUUAAUACGAGAUUAAGGAUCGGCGCUGUAUCGGACUAUGUAAUGGUCUGAUGACCACCAGAUUCAACUGGUGUCAAAAGAAAGUCUCAUGCUGCCAAAUCUGUCCUGAGUUUUACAAGGAUUGUAACCUGUGAAGGCUCACUUUGUCAAACUAGUAAGUUACUACAUGCAAGCAUUCCAUGAAUCAAAUGGAAAAAAAAGAUAAUCCAACUCUUUUUUCACAAAAAAAAAAAUCGUACUUAUCAAUCAGUUCGCUCAGCACAAAUACAAAACUUGAGAUGGAGAACAAAAUCUCUCUCUCUCUCUCUCUCUCUCUCAAGUUCCAACAAGAAAGAGAAGUCAAGAGAGAGGAGAGAGCAAGACAAGAAAAAUAGGAGAGAGCCAAGGGGCUCUCCUUCUCUCUCUCUUCCUUCUUUCCGGAGGAAGAUGCUCUGCGGCCGUAGCCGCCCAUGGCCGACGACCUCAGCGGCGACGGCCCAAGGUGGUGUCGGCCGCAUGCCACGCCCGGCGACGGCCAGCCAAACGGAAGGGAGAGCAAAAGACCGAACAGAGGAGGCUCGGUCAUCACUAAAUCCGACAGCUUGCCUGCCGGAUUCCAAGGGAACGUGGCCCAAAGACGAGAGAAGAAGAAGAAGAGGGUGCUCAUCUUGCCUCUGGCUUGCUUCUCCGGCCGAAUCGACGGCGAAAACUCCAAUCUCCUCCCACGGAAUGCUUGGCGGUAAAUCCUCCAAUGGAAAGGCUCGCACGAUUGAAGCCAAGGGAGAGGAAAAGGGGUACUUUUAUAGAUGGAUUGAUCACCCGCUUUUCUUCCUUCCGUUGGAUUCGGGGGAGGAAGAGGAGUUGGAACAGGGGAGGGAGAAGGCUUUGAUCGGGAGUCUCCCUCUCCCUUUUUCAUGGGUUGGGCCGGUGCUGUUGGUCAGGGGCCGGCCCAAGCCCAAUGUUAUGUGGGCCCUUAUACCAGGCUCCUAAAGAUCCAGCUAUUCAGCUACUCAGUCUCAGGCUUGUUCAACCAGGUUAUAUGAAGUUAGCCACUAGUUUUCUUGAUUAGUGAUGGACCGUCAAUCGGAGACUAAAUCCCACAUGAACCAAAGUUGCCACUAAACAGGGUGGAGCCACCCUGUUUAUCUUUGGCUGGAUUUAAGAAAUAACUAAGCGAUUAUUAAUCUUUUCAA